rfam:Desulfobacula toluolica Tol2 complete genome
CUGAGGGCAGGGUAACCUGUCCUGACCGCAUGGGAGAAGUCAGCAGAGGGCAUAUUAGCCGGUGGAAACGAGCCGUGAACAACACGGAGGACUCACCCCGGUAAAGGCC